rnacentral:rRNA from 1 species
UACAGAGGUCCCAAGCGUUGUUCGGAUUCACUGGGCGUAAAGGGUGCGUAGGCGGUCGGGUAAGUCUGAUGUGAAAUCUCACAGCUUAACUGUGAAACUGCAUUGGAUACUAUCCGGCUCGAGGAAUGGAGGGGAGACUGGAAUACUUGGUGUAGCAGUGAAAUGCGUAGAUAUCAAGUGGAACACCAGUGGCGAAGGCGAGUCUCUGGACAUUUCCUGACGCUGAGGCACGAGAGCCAGGGGAGCAAACGGG